AUAAUUUAUUUAUUUUUUAAUUUUUGUUACUAUUUAUUCUAUGUUUUGGUUAUCAUUUACAGUAACAUUUGUUCUAUUUUUCCUUUAUAUCCAUUCCUUUUCAUUCCUAUUUUAUCAUUUUUUCUUUUCCUGUUUGUUCUUUUUUAGUCAUGUUCUUCUUCAUUCCUUGUAUUCAUUUAUAGGUCACCAAUCGGACCCGAUAUGUUGAUUUAAAGAGAGUGGACAUAUCAAUUCUGGUAGCUGGUAAAAAGCAUCUAUUUCCUUUGCUUUCAAGCUCAUGUGUUACACAAACAUGUUAUAAAGUCA
rnacentral:sRNA from 1 species